CAUGCGGGCAAGCCUUCAGGAUGUACAGCGCGCGUUGAAACGAAUACCUGACGAUGCGGUGGAUCUGGUAGUACAGCGUGUGCCUCAUGGUCUGCCCAUUGCCAUCGUGCGCACAGUGAGCGGGGAGGAGCUAGGAAUCGUGCGCUCGGACACAAACAGAGCUGAGAUCACGGAGGUGGUGUCCGGGGGGCUGGCGCAUCGUCACGGCCUUCCCGGCCACACGGUGGCGCCGGUGAGCGGCACGGUCGCGCGCUGGGUUCUCACGGAGAUCAACCAUCGACCGCUCAACCUCUUCUUCAAGGGAGACGAGAUUGAAGCACGAUUGAACGCGGUGGAAAGGACAUUUCCAUCCUC